UACGUAGGGUGCAAGCGUUGUCCGGAAUUAUUGGGCGUAAAGAGCUCGUAGGCGGUUUGUCGCGUCUGCCGUGAAAGUCCGGGGCUCAACUCCGGAUCUGCGGUGGGUACGGGCAGACUAGAGUGAUGUAGGGGAGACUGGAAUUCCUGGUGUAGCGGUGAAAUGCGCAGAUAUCAGGAGGAACACCGAUGGCGAAGGCGGGUCUCUGGGCCGAUACUGACGCUGAGGAGCGAAAGCGUGGGAGCGAACAGG
rnacentral:rRNA from 1 species